CGCCAGUGCUCCAAAAGCGAGUGUUGUUCGCACUCUGGCGAGGCUUUUUGUAAGGCGUUGCGAAGGUUUUGGACGUUUCGAGCGAGGGGUUUUUGAGGGGUUUUGGUUGGUUUUUUGUAUUUUGUAUCUGGAAGACACGUACAUCUGUACACUUAUACACGUGUUUUUGUUUGGCGGAUGCUAUUCCACCAAUACAGCAACAACAAAUCGUGUGAACUAAUCUGGUGAAAUUGACUGGUGUGGAGUUUUCAUUCGAUUUGGCCUGGCAAAUCAACAAAAUUUCCGAUCUGCAUGGUUAUUUGCAAAUCGUCCAAAUUGAGCAACGGUUUAUUAGUAUUCUCGAUUUCUACUGGGAUUGAGGAUGUUUUGGGCGGAAGAAUCAAUGAAAUCCUCCCGCUAAGUGGUUUUUAUUUUUCAUUUGAUGUUUGGAUUUAAUCGCAUACAGGUAAUCCACGAGAUACAUGAUACUGCACAUUUGAUUAAUUUGAUCUAUAAAUUGUGAAAUACAAGAAAAUUCUAAUUCUGCAACUUGCGCCAUCGUGAAACGAAAGGAUGCAGAUCAAAGGACUGCCAAUUCCGGAGCCAAUUCCGAUGCUGGAAUCGAUUCCGGAGUACGAAUCGGCUCCAGGAUCGGAAUCGACCUUGGAAUCGCAAUUUUGGAUUGAAAUAACUAGUUUCAGAAGCGAAAUCAGUCCAGGAAUAUCCAUGAGAAUGGAUCGUUU